rnacentral:rRNA from 1 species
CCCUUAGAUGUCCGGGGCCGCACGCGCGCUACACUGAAGGAAUCAGCGUGGCUUUCUCCCUGACCCGAAAGGGUUGGGAAACCCGUUGAAUCUCCUUCGUGAUAGGGAUUGGGGCUUGAAAUUGUUCCCCAUGAACGAGGAAUUCCCAGUAAGCGCGAGUCAUAAGCUCGCGUUGAUUACGUCCCUGCCCUUUGUACACACCGCCCGUCGCUACUACCGAUUGAAUGAUUUAGUGAGUACCAGGGACCGAGCGCUUUGGUUGGGUUUCCUUCCCUAGCGCUUGGGAACUGUCGCAAACUUGACCAUUUAGAGGAAGUAAAAGUCGUAACA